rnacentral:rRNA from 1 species
UCAAUGGGGGCAACCCUGAACGAGCAAUGCCGCGUGAGCGAAGAAGGUCUUCGGAUUGUAAAGCUCUGUUGCCGGGGAAAAGGAAGGAAAGAGGAAAUGCUUUUCUUUGGAUGGUACCCGGCCAGAAGGUCACGGCUAACUACGUGCC